GACAGAGGAUGCAAGCGUUAUCCGGAAUGAUUGGGCGUAAAGCGUCUGUAGGUGGCUUUUCAAGUCCGCCGUCAAAUCCCAGGGCUCAACCCUGGACAGGCGGUGGAAACUACCAAGCUGGAGUACGGUAGGGGCAGAGGGAAUUUCCGGUGGAGCGGUGAAAUGCGUAGAUAUCAUUUGGAACGCCAAUGGUGAAAACAGCUCGCUGGGGGUGUGCUGACGCUGAGACACGAAAGCCAGGGGAGCAAACGGG
rnacentral:rRNA from 1 species